rnacentral:rRNA from 1 species
CCUACGGGAGGCUGCAGUGGGGAAUAUUGCACAAUGGGGGAAACCCUGAUGCAGCGACGCCGCGUGAGUGAAGAAGUAUCUCGGUAUGUAAAGCUCUAUCAGCAGGGAAGAAAAUGACGGUACCUGACUAAGAAGCCCCGGCUAACUACGUGCCAGCAGCCGCGGUAAUACGUAGGGGGCAAGCGUUAUCCGGAUUUACUGGGUGUAAAGGGAGCGUAGACGGCGCUGCAAGUCCGGAGUGAAAGCCCAUGGCUUAACCAUGGUACUGCUCUGGAAACUGUUGAACUAGAUUGCAGGAGAGGUAAGUGGAAUUCCUAGUGUAGCGGUGAAAUGCGUAGAUAUUAGGAGGAACACCAGUGGCGAAGGCGGCUUACUGGACUGUAAAUGACGCUGAGGCUCGAAAGCGUGGGGAGCAAACAGGAUUAGAUACCCCAGUAGUC